rnacentral:rRNA from 1 species
AGAGUUUGAUCCUGGCACAGGACGAACGCUGGCGGCGUGCCUAAUACAUGCAAGUCGAACGCUUCUUUUUCCACCGGAGCUUGCUCCACCGGAAAAAGAGGAGUGGCGAACGGGUGAGUAACACGUGGGUAACCUGCCCAUCAGAAGGGGAUAACACUUGGAAACAGGUGCUAAUACCGUAUAACAAUCGAAACCGCAUGGUUUUGAUUUGAAAGGCGCUUUCGGGUGUCGCUGAUGGAUGGACCCGCGGUGCAUUAGCUAGUUGGUGAGGUAACGGCUCACCAAGGCGACGAUGCAUAGCCGACCUGAGAGGGUGAUCGGCCACAUUGGGACUGAGACACGGCCCAAACUCCUACGGGAGGCAGCAGUAGGGAAUCUUCGGCAAUGGACGAAAGUCUGACCGAGCAACGCCGCGUGAGUGAAGAAGGUUUUCGGAUCGUAAAACUCUGUUGUUAGAGAAGAACAAGGAUGAGAGUAACUGUUCAUCCCUUGACGGUAUCUAACCAGAAAGCCACGGCUAACUACGUGCCAGCAGCCGCGGUAAUACGUAGGUGGCAAGCGUUGUCCGGAUUUAUUGGGCGUAAAGCGAGCGCAGGCGGUUUCUUAAGUCUGAUGUGAAAGCCCCCGGCUCAACCGGGGAGAGUCAUUGGAAACUGGGAGACUUGAGUGCAGAAGAGGAGAGUGGAAUUCCAUGUGUAGCGGUGAAAUGCGUAGAUAUAUGGAGGAACACCAGUGGCGAAGGCGGCUCUCUGGUCUGUAACUGACGCUGAGGCUCGAAAGCGUGGGGAGCAAACAGGAUUAGAUACCCUGGUAGUCCACGCCGUAAACGAUGAGUGCUAAGUGUUGGAGGGUUUCCGCCCUUCAGUGCUGCAGCUAACGCAUUAAGCACUCCGCCUGGGGAGUACGACCGCAAGGUUGAAACUCAAAGGAAUUGACGGGGGCCCGCACAAGCGGUGGAGCAUGUGGUUUAAUUCGAAGCAACGCGAAGAACCUUACCAGGUCUUGACAUCCUUUGACCACUCUAGAGAUAGAGCUUCCCCUUCGGGGGCAAAGUGACAGGUGGUGCAUGGUUGUCGUCAGCUCGUGUCGUGAGAUGUUGGGUUAAGUCCCGCAACGAACGCAACCCUUAUUGUUAGUUGCCAUCAUUUAGUUGGGCACUCUAGCAAGACUGCCGGUGACAAACCGGAGGAAGGUGGGGAUGACGUCAAAUCAUCAUGCCCCUUAUGACCUGGGCUACACACGUGCUACAAUGGGAAGUACAACGAGUCGCAAAGUCGCGAGGCUAAGCUAAUCUCUUAAAGCUUCUCUCAGUUCGGAUUGUAGGCUGCAACUCGCCUACAUGAAGCCGGAAUCGCUAGUAAUCGCGGAUCAGCACGCCGCGGUGAAUACGUUCCCGGGCCUUGCACUCACCGCCCGUCA